rnacentral:rRNA from 1 species
AUUGAACGCUGGCGGCAGGCUUAACACAUGCAAGUCGAACGAGUGGCGGACGGGUGAGUAAUGCUUGGGAAUCUAGCUUAUGGAGGGGGAUAACUACGGGAAACUGUAGCUAAUACCGCGUACCAUAGGAUGAGCCCAAGUGGGAUUAGGUAGUUGGUGAGGUAAAGGCUCACCAAGCCGACGAUCUCUAGCUGGUCUGAGAGGAUGACAAGCCAAACAGGGAAGGAGACACGGCCCAGACUCCUACGGGAGGCAGAAGUGGGGAAGAUUGCGCAAUGGGGGCAACCUGACGCAGCCAUGCGGCGUGUAUGAAGAAGGCCUUCGGGUUGUAAAGUACUGUCAGUCGGGAGGCGUUACAGACAGAAGAAGCACCGGCUAACUCCGUGCCAGCAGCGGCGGUAAUUC